GACAGAGGAGGCAAGCGUUGUCCGGAUUAACUGGGCGUAAAGCGUCCGCAGGUGGCACGGUCAGUGGGGUGUGAAAGCCGGUGGCUUAACCGCCGGAGGCCAUCCCAAACUGCCGCGCUGGAGUCGGGCAGAGGGUGCCGGAAUUGCCGGUGUAGUGGUGAAAUGCGCAGAUAUCAGGAGGAACACCGGUGGCGAAGGCGGGUCUCUGGGCCGUAACUGACGCUGAGGAGCGAAAGCAUGGGGAGCGAACAGG
rnacentral:rRNA from 1 species